GCGGCGGAGGGUGAGUAACACGUGGGUAACCUACCUAUAAGACUGGGAUAACUUCGGGAAACCGGAGCUAAUACCGGAUACCAUUUGGAACCGCAUGGUUCUAAAGUGAAAGAUGGUUUUGCUAUCACUUAUAGAUGGACCCGCGCCGUAUUAGCUAGUUGGUAAGGUAACGGCUUACCAAGGCAACGAUACGUAGCCGACCUGAGAGGGUGAUCGGCCACACUGGAACUGAGACACGGUCCAGACUCCUACGGGAGGCAGCAGUAGGGAAUCUUCCGCAAUGGGCGAAAGCCUGACGGAGCAACGCCGCGUGAGUGAUGAAGGGUUUCGGCUCGUAAAACUCUGUUAUUAGGGAAGAACAAAUGUGUAAGUAACUGUGCACAUCUUGACGGUACCUAAUCAGAAAGCCACGGCUAACUACGUGCCAGCAGCCGCGGUAAUACGUAGGUGGCAAGCGUUAUCCGGAAUUAUUGGGCGUAAAGCGCGCGUAGGCGGUUUCUUAAGUCUGAUGUGAAAGCCCCACGGCUCAACCGUGGAGGGUCAUUGGAAACUGGGAAACUUGAGUGCAGAAGAGGAAAGUGGAAUUCCAUGUGUAGCGGUGAAAUGCGCAGAGAUAUGGAGGAACACCAGUGGCGAAGGCGACUUUCUGGUCUGUAACUGACGCUGAUGUGCGAAAGCGUGGGGAUCAAACAGGAUUAGAUACCCUGGUAGUCCACGCCGUAAACGAUGAGUGCUAAGUGUUAGGGGGUUUCCGCCCCUUAGUGCUGCAGCUAACGCAUUAAGCACUCCGCCUGGGGAGUACGACCGCAAGGUUGAAACUCAAAGGAAUUGACGGGGACCCGCACAAGCGGUGGAGCAUGUGGUUUAAUUCGAAGCAACGCGAAGAACCUUACCAAAUCUUGACAUCCUUUGAAAACUCUAGAGAUAGAGCCUUCCCCUUCGGGGGACAAAGUGACAGGUGGUGCAUGGUUGUCGUCAGCUCGUGUCGUGAGAUGUUGGGUUAAGUCCCGCAACGAGCGCAACCCUUAAGCUUAGUUGCCAUCAUUAAGUUGGGCACUCUAGGUUGACUGCCGGUGACAAACCGGGAGGAAGGUGGGGAUGACGUCAAAUCAUCAUGCCCCUUAUGAUUUGGGCUACACACGUGCUACAAUGGACAAUACAAAGGGGCAGCUAAACCGSGAGGUCAUGCAAAUCCCAUAAAGUUGUUCUCAGUUCGGAUUGUAGU
rnacentral:rRNA from 1 species